AGAAAAUGUAGCUGUUCCUCAGUCGCUCAGUAGUCAGUGUAGAUUCUGUCUUCUCAAUCAGCAGCUACAUCUGGCUACUGGGUCUCUGAGGACAUCUUGUAGCACCUC
rnacentral:pre_miRNA from 11 species